AUACCUUUCUCGGCCUUUUGGCUAAGAUCAAGUGUAGUAUCUGUUCUUAUCAGUUUAAUAUCUGAUAUGUGGACCAUUGGUUCACACGAUAUUAAAUUUAUUUUUUGAGGGAGAGGGUCCAAUGCAGUAGCUUGCUACUGUGGCUCUCUAGUGUCGCUCUUGCCUUGCACUACAGCAAGGGCCCUGGCGCAUCCCAC
rfam:Glycine max cultivar Williams 82 chromosome 2, whole genome shotgun sequence.